rnacentral:rRNA from 1 species
AUUGAACGCUGGCGGCAGGCCUAACACAUGCAAGUCGAGCGGAUGAAGGGAGCUUGCUCCUGGAUUCAGCGGCGGACGGGUGAGUAAUGCCUAGGAAUCUGCCUGGUAGUGGGGGACAACGUUUCGAAAGGAACGCUAAUACCGCAUACGUCCUACGGGAGAAAGCAGGGGACCUUCGGGCCUUGCGCUAUCAGAUGAGCCUAGGUCGGAUUAGCUAGUUGGUGAGGUAAUGGCUCACCAAGGCGACGAUCCGUAACUGGUCUGAGAGGAUGAUCAGUCACACUGGAACUGAGACACGGUCCAGACUACGACGGGAGGCAGCAGUGGGGAAUAUUGGACAAUGGGCGAAAGCCUGAUCCAGCCAUGCCGCGUGUGUGAAGAAGGUCUUCGGAUUGUAAAGCACUUUAAGUUGGGAGGAAGGGUUGUAGAUUAAUACUCUGCAAUUUUGACGUUACCGACAGAAUAAGCACCGGCUAACUCUGUGCCAGCCGCCGCCGUAACAC